rnacentral:rRNA from 1 species
AACGAACGCUGGCGGCAGGCCUAACACAUGCAAGUCGAACGCCGUAGCAAUACGGAGUGGCAGACGGGUGAGUAACGCGUGGGAACCUACCUUACGGUCGGGAAUAGCCCAGGGAAACUUGGGGUAAUACCGGAUACGCCCUUACGGGGAAAGAUUUAUCGCCCAAGGAUGAGCCCGCGUAGGAUUAGCUAGUUGGUGAGGUAAAGGCUCACCAAGGCGACGAUCCUUAGCUGGUCUGAGAGGAUGAUCAGCCACACUGGGACUGAGACACGGGGCCCAGACUCCUACGGGAGGCAGCAGUGGGAAGUAUUGGACAAUGGCGAAGCCUGAUCCAGCAAUGCCGCGUGAGUGAUGAA